rnacentral:misc_RNA from 1 species
GAUGAAGAACGUAGCAAAAUGCGAUACUUGGUGUGAAUUGCAGAAUCCCGUGAACCAUCGAGUCUUUGAACGCAAGUUGCGCCCGAAGCCAUUAGGCCGAGGGCACGCCUGCCUGGGCGUCACACGUCGUUGCCCCCCCAUCUACUCCUUCGGGAUUGCGGGGGGCGGAUGAUGGCCUCCCGUGCGCCUCGUCGCGCGGUUGGCAUAAAUGCCAAGUCCUCGGCGACGCACGCCACGACAAUCGGUGGUUGCGAAACCUCGGUUGCCCGUCGUGUGCGGUCGUCGCGCAUCGAGGGCUCGAAAAAAUUGCCGGGCUCCGGCUCGGCUUUCAACGCGACCCCAGGUCAGGCGGGGUUACCCGCUGAAUUUAAGCAUAUCAAUAAGCGGAGGA